CCAGGCCACUCCUGACCCUUCACGGUUUGGCCAGUGUGGUGUUUUCAAAUGCCCCUGCUUCAGUUUUGACACUGACCAGCGAUUUAAUAACAGCCUACAUCUACAAAACCAUAUCAAACAAGCAGUCGAGAAUAACGGAAAGUUCAGCGUGUUGAACGUGUGACUGAUGAAGGAGAUAGAAUGGGCAACGUCUCCUUUGAACAGAUGCCCCUUAUUCUCAUAGAUACAGUUCUGGAAGAGGGUGACAAAGCUUUUUUAAAGCUGUCACUGGUUUGUCGUCUCUUCCGGGACAUUGUUUGGACAACAAUCAUUCCGGGCCCGGGCACAUUUCGAGUGGCUUGACAGUGUAGUGCCAUGAAAACAUCACAGUGCUGCAUGUAAAGACGAGUUUCGCAGGAUGUACGAACUGCAGUGCUGCCAGAACUGUCAAGAAACUUAUAAAGACUGCAUACUGGGCUACGUUGGGCAUGGGAGACGAGGGGAGCUUGUGGCAUUUUACAGCGAAAACGAGCACCCUGGAUUCUGCAGCCAGCUUCAUGAGUGGCUGGGUGUGUGAGUGGCUGGGUGUGUGAGUGGCUGGGUGUGUGAGUGGCUGGGUGUGUGAGUGGCUGGGUGUGUGAGUGGCUGGGUGUGUGAGUGGCUGGGUGUGUGAGUGGCUGGGUGUUGCAUUUUUAAAUAAAGACUUCUGUAUUUGUUUGACCAAAGCAUGUAACCAAACAUUUUAAAGGCUAGUGUGCCAAUAAAUGCCAAUAAAGAUAUUGUAUUAGCUUGGACAAAGUGUUUGUAAAUGGAGUUAAUUUCCCUGGGAACUACUGUCAGCCAUACAAAAUUGGGAGAGGAGAAGCAGGAAAGGGAUAUUAUUAUUAUUAUUAUUAUUAUUAUUAUUAUUAUUAUUGACAAAAUAGCUAUGUAUACAUACAUUUUUAAUUUCUGAAACCACAGCAUUUGAUAUAUUGUACUCUAUCGUUAUACACUAUCCAGCAUACCAUUAUUACCACCUGCUUGUUUCUGCUUCUAUUAUUCUUUUUUUU